GCCUCCGCGCUGUCGCCAUCAACCACAUCAAGAUCUGUUUCCUGAGGUCUCAGUGGUCGGAUCAUGCUUAUGGCAUUCCUGUUCAUGCCAAACAUCCGGUCCGAACACAACUGCGGCUGGCUCAGGUGCCUUUUGAUGGCGUCAUUCCAUGGACUGAAUACAAGCAGACAGUGAGCUGAGCGCCAGUCAUCUCUCUCUGCUUCCUGACUACAGACUCAAGGUGACCGACCAUCUGCCUCAUGCUCCUGCCGCCAGGUCCUCCCUGUGCUGAUACACUAUAGCCUCAAACUAUCGGGACCAGAGAGACAUCCCACAAGAAAAGCCACCACACCCGCUGAGGUCAGGUCCAUCACCAGGACCCACAUGGUGGAAGGAAGGAGAGAGCCAAUUUCUGUUACAGUGUAGCGGAGACCAGAGACAAUGAGUUUAGUCACAGACCAUACAGCUCUGCGGUUCAGCCUAUGGUCGUAACUCUAACACGUGAGGCAGGGGAGCGAUGGUCACUGUCAAUGUCUAAGACAGACAGACUCUGCUCGGACCUUCUGCAAAGCAGCCGAGGCACAAGGCAUCUUCGAAGGACAUGCGUGCAAAAUCGCAGACCCAGGCCCUGCAUGGCCCAGAGCCUGCUAUGUUGGAAGCCUCUUUGAGACUUCAUGGGAAGGUCUAAAUACGGAAGGUCUUGUCAUAGAAGACAGAUGGAGAGCACUA